AGUAGGAUGAUAUGGCUAGGUUAGAUGUGGUUUGACAAGUGGCAAGAAGAGGUUUUGCUGCGCUUUCCCAGCAUUGGGUUGGGAAGGCUUUUCAGUUUUAACUGACUUCCACAGCAGAAUGGUAUAGCCCAGCUUCCAUCUGAAACAGAUGGGUGCAUAAGAAGAAAAAGCAUGCUUUCCCAGAGAUAGAACCUUACACAUACAAAUCUUUCAUCCAGAUUUCUACAGCCUACCUUGUAGAACUGCAGAGGCAGCUGGGCAGAGUUCCAAAAUGACCUGUCAAGACAAGAAGCAAUGAUGUGGUGACUCAGCAGAAGCACUGUACAUCUUUGCAGUUCCACUGCAGCACUGUUCACUCGGAGUCUUCUGAGGAUAAGUUUAGUCUCUGAAAGUGAACAUCUACAUGUCCCUAGCUCCUUACCUUGGUA